AAUAUCUCUGAGGACAAAGAUGUCUCCGUUGAAAACUCUUCGAAGACAACAGUUGAAGUGGAUAGAGUGAAGGCCAGGAUUGCAAAUGACUGUAAAGAGGCCGCAGAAUGGGUUAACGCAAACCUGCACUUGUUCUCUGAUGCCGUGGAAUUGCCUGACAUACUGAAGAUGGGGGAAGUGGAACUGGCAGAGGCUGUACAGCAGUAUGAAAAGCUUGGGGGUGACGAGGAAGUGGAUGAAGACGAAAAGGAGUCGAUCUUGGAGAAUUUCAAGUUUUUUUUCAGGAACCUUGAAGACAUGAAUGUAUUUUGUGAGGAAAUUACAGACAGCCGAGGGUAUGUGGCUUACUGUGAAUGCCGAGAAUAAAAAAAAUCAUUGCAUUCAA